UGUCUGGCUCUUCGGAAGCUGAGGAAGACAAUGAUCCUGAUGGUCCUUUUGCUUUCCGUAGGAAAGCAGGCUGUCAGUACUAUGCUGUAAGUUUCAGAGUGUCUUUGUAAAUAACAAACUAUUUACCUUUAACUGACAAAAUUAAAUAAUUUGGAUUUUUUUUUUAAGCCUCACUUAGACCAAACUGGCAACUGGCCUUGGACUAGUCCUAAAGAUGGAGGAUUAGGGGAUGUGCGAUAUAGAUACUGCUUAACUACUCUCACCGUACCCCAAAGGUGUAUUGGAUUUGCACGAAGACGGGUUGGGCGCGGUGGAAGGGUCUUACUGGACAGAGCUCAUUCAGACUAUGACAGUGUGUUUCACCAUCUGGAUUUGGAAAUGCUUUCCUCACCACAACAUUCUCCAGUCAAUCAGUUUGCCAAUACCUCAGAAACAAAUACCUCGGACAAAUCUUUCUCUAAAGACCUCAGUCAGAUACUAGUCAAUAUCAAAUCAUGUAGAUGGCGGCAUUUUAGGCCUCGGACACCAUCCCUACAUGACAGUGACAAUGAUGAACUCUCCUGUAGAAAAUUAUAUAGGAGUAUAAACCGAACAGGAACAGCACAACCUGGGACCCAGACAUGCAGUACCUCUACGCAAAGUAAAAGUAGCAGUGGUUCAGCACACUUUGAACUGAGCUCUCCAUAGACAAACAUAAGUAGCAUAACACAGUGUCUUUCCUCAGACAUCAUUCUGUACAGUAAAUCAACAUAAACAACUCCGUUCUUAUUGACUGGAUUUUUUC
rnacentral:lncRNA from 1 species